CCGUCGGUCCCUCGCGACGCUAGAUCGAGAAUCCCGCCAGGGCCGGAAGGCAGCAACGGUAUCGAUUGAUGCGGGCGCCGAGGUCAACC
rnacentral:SRP_RNA from 1 species